CCCUUAGAUGUUCUGGGCAGCACGCGCGCUACAAUGGUCUUCGCAAACGGAUGCAUUCUCGAAGGAGAAUGCCAAUCUUGGAAUCUAUGCCUUGGUCGGGACAGUUGCUUGCAAUUUUUCGACUCGAACCAGGAAUUCCUUGUAAUCGUGAUUCAUCACAUCACGAUGAAUACGUCCCUGCCCUUUGUACACACCGCCCGUCGCUCCUACCGAUCGAAGAGUUAGGUGAAUUGUUUUGAUCGAUAAGAUUUGACUAUGGUCAACUCUCGUUGUGAAAUUCUGUGAACCUGACCGUUUAGAGGAAGGAAAAGUCGUAACA
rnacentral:rRNA from 1 species